CCUACGGGAGGCAGCAGUGGGUAAUAUUGCACAAUGGGCGAAAGCCUGAUGCAGCAACGCCGCGUGAAGGAAGAAGGGUUUCGGCUCGUAAACUUCUAUCAACAGGGACGAAAGAAAUGACGGUACCUGAAUCAGAAGCCGCGGCUAACUACGUGCCAGCAGCCGCGGUAAUACGUAGGGGGCAAGCGGUAUACGGAAUGACUGGGAGUAAAGGGUGAGUAGGCGGCAUGGUAAGCCAGAUGUGAAAGCCUUGGGCUUAACCCGGGGACUGCAUCUGGUACUAGCAGGCUAGAGUACCGGAGAGGAAAGCAGAAUUCCUGGUGUAGCGGUGAAAUGCGUAGAUAUUAGGAAGAACACCAGUGGCGAAGGCGGCCUUCUGGACGAAGACUGACGCUCAGGUGCGAAAGCGUGGGGAGCGAACAGGAUUAGAUACCCUAGUAGUC
rnacentral:rRNA from 1 species